rnacentral:lncRNA from 1 species
GAUCACCACAACAUGAGGAACUGUAUUAAAGGGUCGCGCCAUUAGGAAGGUUGAGAACCACUGUAUUAACACAUUAUAGUUGCUAGGAGUAAAGCAGUUCUUCUGUUUGCGUGGUAAUGCUUUGUUAUAUCAGCCCCAUGCUGUGCUUAAUAAAUUUGAAUCACUGGUAUUUAUGCUGUUAUUUUCUGUAGUUUUAUUCAUAAAAUUUCAAAUACCUCCACACACUUUCCUCUUAUUCAGUCAUGGUUCGUCUUUAAUAACUUGGCAUUGAUCUACAUGACCUGUGCAUCAAAAUUCAAGAGCCUUUGUGCUAGCAUGAUAUUCUGUUGUCCUUUCUCUGCAUCUGAUUUAUGUUCCUUAAUUCUUUUUUUUGUAUUGACCUAGCAGUACAAC